rnacentral:rRNA from 1 species
UAAUACGUAGGUGGCAAGCGUUGUCCGGAAUUAUUGGGCGUAAAGGGCUCGCAGGCGGUUUCUUAAGUCUGAUGUGAAAGCCCCCCGGCUCAACCGGGGAGGGUCAUUGGAAACUGGGGAACUUGAGUGCAGAAGAGGAGAGUGGAAUUCCACGUGUAGCGGUGAAAUGCGUAGAGAUGUGGAGGAACACCAGUGGCGAAGGCGACUCUCUGGUCUGUAACUGACGCUGAGGAGCGAAAGCGUGGGGAGCGAACAGGAUUAGAUACCCUGGUAGUCCACGCCGUAAACGAUGAGUGCUAAGUGUUAGGGGGUUUCCGCCCCUUAGUGCUGCAGCUAACGCAUUAAGCACUCCGCCUGGGGAGUACGGUCGCAAGACUGAAACUCAAAGGAAUUGACGGGGGCCCGCACAAGCGGUGGAGCAUGUGGUUUAAUUCGAAGCAACGCGAAGAACCUUACCAGGUCUUGACAUCCUCUGACAAUCCUAGAGAUAGGACGUCCCCUUCGGGGGCAGAGUGACAGGUGGUGCAUGGUUGUCGUCAGCUCGUGUCGUGAGAUGUUGGGUUAAGUCCCGCAACGAGCGCAACCCUUGAUCUUAGUUGCCAGCAUUCAGUUGGGCACUCUAAGGUGACUGCCGGUGACAAACCGGAGGAAGGUGGGGAUGACGUCAAAUCAUCAUGCCCCUUAUGACCUGGGCUACACACGUGCUACAAUGGACAGAACAAAGGGCAGCGAAACCGCGAGGUUAAGCCAAUCCCACAAAUCUGUUCUCAGUUCGGAUCGCAGUCUGCAACUCGACUGCGCGACACGAGUG